rnacentral:rRNA from 1 species
UGAAUACGAGACGCUAAGGCGUCGAAGUAGUGUAUGUCAUACUUCCAAGAAAAGCUUGCACUGUCAUAGAUAAAAAACGCCUGUACCAUAACCGACACAGGUGGGUAGGUAGAGUAUACUAAGGGGCGCGAGAUAACUCUCUCUAAGGAACUCGGCAAAAUAACUCCGUAACUUCGGGAGAAGGAGUGCCUUAUUCUUAAGGUUGCAAUAACAAGAUCCAAGCGACUGUUUAUCAAAAACACAGGUCUCCGCUAAGUCGUAAGACGAUGUAUGGGGGCUGACGCCUGCCCAGUGCCAGAAGGUUAAAGAAGCUGGUUAGCAUUUGCGAAGCUAGUAACUGAAGCCCUGGUGAACGGCGGCCGUAACAAUAACGGUCCUAAGGUAGCGAAAUUCCUUGUCGGGUAAGUUCCGACCCGCACGAAAGGCGUAAUGAUUUGGAUACUGUCUCGGAGAGGGGCUCGGUGAAAUAGACUUGUCUGUGAAGAUGCGGACUACCUGCACCAGGACAGAAAGACCCUAUGAAGCUUUACUGUAACUUGAAAUUGAAAUUGGACUUUAUUCGCGCAGUAUAGGUGGGAGGCGUUGAUUAUAAUCUUGCGGGAUUAUUGGAGCCAUUAGUGAGAUACCACUCUUGUAAUGUUAGAUUUCUAACUUUGAAUCAUUAUCUGGUCAAAGAACAGUUUCAGGCGGGCAGUUUGACUGGGGCGGUCGCCUCCUAAACGGUAACGGAGGCGUACAAAGGUUUCCUCUGAACGGUUAGAAAUCGUAUCUAGAGUGUAAAGGCAUAAGGAAGCUUGACUGUGAGACCUACAAGUCGAGCAGGGACGAAAGUCGGUCUUAGUGAUCUGACGGUACUGAGUGGAAAGGCCGUCACUCAACGGAUAAAAGUUACUCUAAGGAUAACAGGCUGAUCUCCCCCAAGAGUUCACAUCGACGGGGAGGUUUGGCACCUCGAUGUCGGCUCAUCGCAUCCUGGGGCGGUAGUACGUCCCAAGGGUUGGGCUGUUCGCCCAUGAAAGCGGUACGCGAGCUGGGUUCAGAACGUCGUGAGACAGUUCGGUCCAUAUCCGGUGUAGGCGUUAGAAUAUUGAGAGGAGCCUUCUUUAGUACGAGAGGACCGAGAAGGACAUACCUCUGGUGUACCAGUUAUCGUGCCAACGGUAAACGCUGGGUAGCUAUGUAUGGAGUGGAUAACCGCUGAAAGCAUCUAAGUGGGAAGCCCACCUCAAGAUAAGUAUUCUCA